UACGUAGGGUGCAAGCGUUGUCCGGAAUUAUUGGGCGUAAAGAGCUCGUAGGCGGUCUGUCGCGUCGGCUGUGAAAACCCGGAGCUCAACUCCGGGCCUGCAGUCGAUACGGGCAGACUGGAGUUCGGCAGGGGAGACUGGAAUUCCUGGUGUAGCGGUGAAAUGCGCAGAUAUCAGGAGGAACACCGGUGGCGAAGGCGACACGCUGGGCCGUACCUGACACUGAUGCGCGACAGCAUGGGGAGCAAACAGG
rnacentral:rRNA from 1 species